AAAGUAUUUCACUUGUCUUCUUUGCCCUACUAUGACACUGUUGAACGUUUUAAAAGCAAAUGAUCAAAUCAAUACAGCAGAAACAGAAAUAUUACAUUUUUAAUUCCAAAUAUUCUUCUUCCUUUUCAAAAGCUGGUGCCUAGAUUAUCCACAAUGCAACUUGACCACUGAGUGACAUCACUUGAGGCAAUUUAUCAGAUUAUGUGCAGUUUCCUCUGGAACCACAAAAGGGUUUAUACUACUUUUUAGACAUUUACAGUAGAACUCCCCAAGACCUGUAAAAAAUAAAAUUGUUACCCUUUAAAUUUUGAAUGCCAAAUCUAUUUAGCAGUUUGACUGUAGGUACUUCAGAAGCCUAUCUCAUUUGCCUCUAGGUUAUUCUCACCUAGUGUUUACUAAUUAUUGACCUUAUUAUAAUUUUUCUUCUUAAAAAUCUUAUUAUGGUAAGCAUAAUUCAUUUGUUCCCUAAAGGUUGCUGCCACUGCAGCUGAUGUUGAGACAACUCUCAGUCUUCCUGCAAGUCCUCGCCUGAUACUGCCUGUUUCAGGUGCAACAGGGCAAGUCACAAUUAAAGGUUGGAUGAUCACCUUAGAGGGCCGUGUAAUCUCUGAGGGCAUCACACCAACAUUUGCAACAGGACUUGCUGCUGUGUUCGCAAUCUACUACAUAUUCAACCUUCAAUAUCAAGAUGAGGCAGCCUGCACUCUUGAAUUCAUUCAGAGGCGCUUCAUUGGUAUAAAUCCAGAGAGAGGGACCAAGGCCAAAAGGGGCAAGGUUGUCUCCAAGAAGAAAGGUGUGAUCGUCCAGAAGAAGUAUUCUGCAGUCAAUACACACGUCGCCAUGCUACUGAAGAAUCUCCUUGACUUUGAAUGGAACUUCAUAUAGAUCGUGGCAACACUGGAAUAAUGCUGCAGAGAGGAGCUGCAGCUACCAAAGUGAUGGUCAUCUCUCCUGGAUCCACAAGUACUAAGACGUAUAAACACACGCCUACCUCACAGGACUAUUUUAAGAGUUAACCUGCAAGUCUAGCUCGCAGUGGCACAGGUGCCUACCU